rnacentral:rRNA from 1 species
ACACUGACGACAUGGUUCUACUGCCUGUUUAUCAAAAACAUCCGUUUGUUGUAAUAACAAAUUUUGUCUGCCCACUGUAUAUUAUAAAGGGCUGCAGUAUUUUGACUGUGCGAAGGUAGCAUAGUAGCUUGUUCUUUUAAUUAGGGACUGGAAUGAAAGACUGGACAAGAAAGUUACUAUAUACAAAUAUAAGUCUUGAAUUUAUACUAUACUAGUAAAAAUACAGAUGUUACUAUUGGGACGAUAAGACCCUAUGUAAUUUUAGUAAUUAGUUUAAUUAAGGAAUAGACGACAUAAAUUACUUAGUUGGGGCAACUAAUAUAUAAAUUUAUUAAACUAGUUUUUAUUAUGAACACAACUAGUGAGAGCAAGACCCUUAUAAGGUAAAGAUAAAAAUACUCUAGGGAUAACAGCGUAAUACUUUUGGUAGAGAUCUUAUCGAUAGAAGUGUUUACGACCUCGAUGUUGAAUUAAACUUCCUACUGGGGUAGAAGAUUUGUAGGUUUAGUCUGUUCGACUAAAUAAGUUUACAUGAUUUGAGUUCAGACCGGUGUGAGCCAGGUUGGUUUCUAUCUAGACCAAGUCUCUGCUACCGUA